rnacentral:rRNA from 1 species
AGAGUUUGAUCCUGGCUCAGGAUGAACGCUGGCGGUAUGCUUAACACAUGCAAGUCGAACGAAACCUUUCGGGGUUUAGUGGCGGACGGGUGAGUAACGCGUGAGAAUCUGGCUUCAGGUCUGGGACAACCACUGGAAACGGUGGCUAAUACCGGAUGUGCCGAGAGGUGAAAGGUUAACUGCCUGAAGAUGAGCUCGCGUCUGAUUAGCUAGUUGGUAGUGUAAUGGACAACCAAGGCGACGAUCAGUAGCUGGUCUGAGAGGACGAUCAGCCACACUGGGACUGAGACACGGCCCAGACUCCUACGGGAGGCAGCAGUGGGGAAUUUUCCGCAAUGGGCGAAAGCCUGAUGGAGCAAUACCGCGUGAGGGAGGAAGGCUCUUGGGUCGUAAACCUCUUUUCUCAGGGAAGAACACAAUGACGGUACCUGAGGAAUAAGCAUCGGCUAACUCCGUGCCAGCAGCCGCGGUAAUACGGAGGAUGCAAGCGUUAUCCGGAAUAAUUGGGCGUAAAGCGUCCGCAGGUGGCGAUGUAAGUCUGCUGUUAAAGCGUCUAGCUCAACUAGAUAAGAGCAGUGGAAACUACUUCGCUAGAGUGCGUUCGGGGCAGAGGGAAUUCCUGGUGUAGCGGUGAAAUGCGUAGAGAUCAGGAAGAACACCAGUGGCGAAGGCGCUCUGCUAGGCCGCAACUGACACUGAGGGACGAAAGCUAGGGGAGCGAAUGGGAUUAGAUACCCCAGUAGUCCUAGCCGUAAACGAUGGAUACUAGGCGUGGCUUGUAUCGACCCGAGCCGUGCCGUAGCUAACGCGUUAAGUAUCCCGCCUGGGGAGUACGCCGGCAACGGUGAAACUCAAAGGAAUUGACGGGGGCCCGCACAAGCGGUGGAGUAUGUGGUUUAAUUCGAUGCAACGCGAAGAACCUUACCAAGGCUUGACAUGUCGCGAAUCUUCUUGAAAGGGGAGAGUGCCUUCGGGAGCGCGAACACAGGUGGUGCAUGGCUGUCGUCAGCUCGUGUCGUGAGAUGUUGGGUUAAGUCCCGCAACGAGCGCAACCCUCGUUUUUAGCUGCCAGCAUUAAGUUGGGCACUCUAGAGAGACUGCCGGUGACAAACCGGAGGAAGGUGGGGAUGACGUCAAGUCAGCAUGCCCCUUACGCCUUGGGCUACACACGUACUACAAUGCUCCGGACAGAGGGCAGCAAGCCAGCGAUGGCAAGCUAAUCCCGGAAACCGAGGCUCAGUUCAGAUCGCAGGCUGCAACUCGCCUGCGUGAAGUCGGAAUCGCUAGUAAUUGCAGGUCAGCAUACUGCAGUGAAUUCGUUCCCGGGCCUUGCACACACCGCCCGUC